CCUGGGGCCGGCCGCGCUCUCGGGCUCGCAGGCGCUGGGUCUCGGCUCCGGCUCCGGCUCCGCGCCGCUGGCUCUGCGUCGCUCGCACUCCAGGUGCAGGCCGGGGAGCCCAGGCGGGGGCACCCUCAUCCCAGGCUGACUGACGUCCCUGGCACCCAAAUGUCGCGGGGAGUGCGGGGCCAGGGUGCGCCCUCCCUCCUCCUCCAGCCAGUGAAACCCGGGACAGCGGCACCCAGCCCCAGGGCGGAGGCCGUCUCUGCUGCGCGCAGCGACGCACCCAGGCCCAAGGGCCGGGAGAUCCGCGGGGAACCCGGAGACCUGCGUCCCAGAGGGGCCGAGGGUUGCACCGCGCCCGCUCCCACGGGCCUCUUCCGAGAGGACGCUUCUCCCUCGUGUCCGCGGGAAGUCCUCGGAUCCUGGAUGAGAAAGAGCCUUCUCUCACCGGCUCCCAGACCCCGCGCUUUUUAAUACCUGUCCUUGCAGAGCGACUGGUCAUUUUAGGCCCGAGUCGAGCCUCUCUUGAUUAAUAAAUGAAUAUGGCUCGUUUUGUUUUAAGUGUGCGUGGAUGUAUACGUUGUAUUGUUUUGCAAUUCAACACCGCAAAGAUCUGGGAAAAGUUCUUCACCUGCAUUAAGGAAAGCAAUUACAAACUCGUAGUCCAAACCAGAAGAGCCAGAAAAU
rnacentral:lncRNA from 10 species